rnacentral:rRNA from 1 species
AUUGAACGCUGGCGGCAGGCCUAACACAUGCAAGUCGAGCGGCAGCGGAAAGUAGCUUGCUACUUUGCCGGCGAGCGGCGGACGGGUGAGUAAUGUCUGGGGAUCUGCCUGAUGGAGGGGGAUAACUACUGGAAACGGUAGCUAAUACCGCAUAACGUCGCAAGACCAAAGUGGGGGACCUUCGAGCCUCACGCCAUCGGAUGAACCCAGAUGGGAUUAGCUAGUAGGUGGGGUAAUGGCUCACCUAGGCGACGAUCCCUAGCUGGUCUGAGAGGAUGACUAGCCACACUGGGACUGAGACACGGCCCAGACUCCUACGGGAGGCAGCAGUGGGGAAUAUUGCACAAUGGGCGCAAGCCUGAUGCAGCCAUGCCGCGUGUGUGAAGAAGGCCUUCGGGUUGUAAAGCACUUUCAGCGAGGAGGAAGGGUGGUGUGUUAAUAGCACACGACAUUGACGUUACUCGCAGAAGAAGCACCGGCUAACUCCGUGCCAGCCGCCGCGGUAA